AUAAUGUUAACAUAAUCCUGAGAGAUAUUGAAAUAGUAAAAGUGAUGAAAUGAGCCUUGACAUGUCGAGCUAAUUUGAUUAGGCUGUCCGCCUUCCUGUGAUACCUUUAUGCCUGUUGUUGCGGGCGAAGAGACCUGUUGUUGCGGGUUUAUGCCUGUUGUUGCGGGCGAAGAAAUACCUGUUGUUGCGGGUAUGUGCCUGUUGUUGCGGGUACGGUGCGGACAUCAAUCCUGAUGUCUGUGGUCAAAGGACUAGUAUCAAAGUGGACACCUCGUGCGGUUAUUCCCUUGGUGUCACUGCACCCUUUGGUACUAGACCUGGGAUAGUAGCAGGAGCUGGGUGCGUCGCGCGGCCUUCCCCUUCGCCCCUUGUAGACUCCGUACUAUACCCUACGACGGUAUGAGAGUGAGCACUUCGUGCGGUUUUCCCUUAGUGCUCAUUGUACACUCUGUACCGGACAGUAUGGACCAUGUGUGAUUCCAACCAUUAGGACAGAGCUCAUUGAUUGAUGAAAUAAUUGUUAAUUAAAGCAGUCAUAUUCUUGAUAAAGUAGUACCAACCUUGUUGACUGAUAAUAGCUAAAAUAACACGGACUCACUAUUUAAAAAGUAAUACCCGAUUAGCAAAUUCGCCACAUCGACUUUAGGAAUCGAUGGCUCACAUCCCCAAUCACAUUUUACAGGUUGCAUAAUUGUUGUUAUGACCGAUUCACCUCGACACCAGCCCUCCUGACCAGGCUGUAAAUGUAAUUAAUCAGCUAUCAACACUGACGACUUAAAAGUGAGUUUAUAAUUUAUGUUAUAUUAAAAUCUGACGUUUGAUAAUGUGGAUAACUGGUAAAGAAAUAAUGUAACGCCCUCACAAACACAACACAUCGAAAAAAAAAAAUGUGUUCUUUUUGUUUAGAAUUUUUCAUCUCCUACAUAAUUUAUCAGAAGUGGGAUCUGACACUCAUGUGUCCGAAUGAAUAGAUCAUUAGUUUAAAUUGUCGUCGUCAGAGUGUAAAACAAUUUUAAUUUGAGUUGGCUAGGAUCUGUUAAUAAAGUAUGUCAGACUUUCAAUCUCCCAAAAUUUGGGUAACAGGUGCUCGAGGUGAGUCACAUUGAAUGGGUAAAAAUUGACUAUUUAUUUUAUUUAGUAAUAAAUCAGAAUGGGUCGCCCUCGUCGUCAACAGUCACGGGAAUCUCCGUCCCCUCAAACGAGCGAUCAUUUUUCGCGCACCGAAUCUCGCGAAACAACGAGCUCGAUAGACAGGUUGACCGAAGUAAUGACGACGUUCAUUCAACAAGCGGGCAAUAGGCGACCGUCUUAUCUGACAAAGGGCGAAGUGGUGCCUUAUUUUAAUCCGGAUGACCGAGAACAAAAUGCCGAGUCCUGGUGUAACAAGGUCGACGAAUUGAGCGAGAUUUUUAAGUGGCCUGAAGACGCCACGAUUUAUUAUGCAUUAUCGAAACUUCGCGGAUUAGCCGAAACAUGGUACAGGGGACAAACCACCCUGAAAUCAACGUGGGGUGAGUGGAAAGAACGCAUAAAAACUGCAUUUCCCUCAAAACGCAAUUUUUAUGAGGACCUGGUGAACAUGAUGCGUCGUAGAAAGCGUCCGGAAGAGACGUAUGAUAAGUAUUUCUACGAGAAAAACGCAAUGUUGACGGGGUGUAAAAUUGUCGGGUCCGAUGCGGUGUCGUGUAUAAUUGGCGGCAUUGACGACGUAGUCGCUAAGACAGGGGCAACAGCGGGUAAUCACCAAACACCGGAGUCGCUAUUUCAGUACUUAUCGGCGAUAAACGGCGUGUCUACGACACCACGACCGUCGACAUCGAGAAACUAUUCGCACCCCCAUUCGUCAACAUCAAAGAGCUAUUCGCAUCUUCAUGAGAAACCGGAACGUUUUGGGUCAAGUACAAACGGAAUGUCGGAGAGGUCGGCAGCUCAUUGUUACCACUGUGGUAAGAACGGCCACUAUUCCAAGUACUGUCCGAAUCGGAGGGCACGUGACGCCGCUGAUACAGUACGAUGUACGUACUGUCGGGGAAGAGGUCACUUAGAGGCCAACUGUUUCCGUAAGGAAAAUGACACGCAGGCAGACAAAUCAAUCUCAUAAAUAGCUUACACAAAAUCCGAUCCCCACAACUCCAAAUUUUACAAAAAAAAAAAGUUCUCGUUAACGGCAAACUCGCAACGGCGUACAUUGAUGUGGGCAGAGAUUUCAAGAAAAAUUCGGUGAAAGGGAAAAAAUCGAAGAACGUAUUUCACAUGGUAAAGGCAGACUGGGGGUUAUCGGAUCAACUGACAGAUCAGAAAAUUCAGCGCAUCCACCAAACUUGUAAUUCUCUGUGCAGUGAAAUCAACAAAAACUAGAAUUAUUGUAGAGAAUUUCAAAGACAUAUUCGCCGCUUACGGAAUACCUAAAGUAAUCAUUUCGGAUCAAGGUACCGCAUUUACAUCGAGUCAGUUUCACAGAUUUUGUGAACAAAAUCAGACCAGACAUGUUAAAAAAAAAAACCGGACAAUUUUAUCGUCGUUACUAACAUCCACAAUAGAGGAAGAUCGCUGGGAUGAGUAGAUUACACCUGUUCAAUUUGCAAUUAAUAAUGUGAUAAAUAAAUCCACGAGCAUAAGAGCAAGCCAACUGUUGUUGGGGUAUUCGCCUCGAAACAGUACUGACAUGACGCUCUGAGAUGAAGUUUCGCAAAUAUCGUCGAUCUUGACCGAUCUUGUUACAUCCAGACAAGAGGCUGCGGCAAAGAUUGCUCAAAAUCAAGAACAACAAAAGCGACAUUUCGAUAAACGACGAAAAAAAGGCGAGAAAAUAUAAAGAGGGUGAUCUCGUACUAAUCGCGAAGAACGUAACAACGACCGGGACAAGUCGGAAAUUAAUUCCACCCUACAGUGGACCCAUGGUCGUGAAGUCGAUCCUGCCAAACGACCGGUAUGUGGUGCAGGGUAUGGAGAAGUCACAUCGGACAAGAAAUAAAGCCGGCUACGACAGAGUCAUCGCUGUCGAUCGGAUGAGACCCUGGUGCCCACCUGGAGGCAUUUCCGACGCCACCGAUAGCGAGAGUGGCGAGGACGGGGUGAUUUUAUCCGAUGGCGACUCGAAUUAAACACCACAACGGCAACUCGGGGCGAGUUGUUCGCAGGAUGGCCGAGUUGUAAGAUAGGUUUGUACUUAACAUGUGUUUCUCUUCAUAUUUUUUAUAUUUGGGGUGUAGAAGCAUGCAGUUAAGAGUUUCAUGCUAAUUUGGGGCUCGUAAAAAUAUAUAUUUCCCAGAAACUGGGGAAUGGCCUAUGUCCUUUCACACGCCUACUAAUGGCCUGCGAUGCAGGGGUGCGGGUGGUCCAGUGACCUACACUUGAGCGAAACAAAUCUGAGAUUAUCGCAGUCGCAGGCAAAAACAGAAACCACAUGUGUGACCCAAAGAAAAUAGACCAGAUUGGGGUUGAUUGGUUGACUGUGUUUCUGUUGAGAGGGUGUAACUAAAAAGGCCUGGAUAAAGAUUUCAGUUUUAAAACGGACGCGUACCGAUUAAGACGAAAAUUUAACAGUUCCGUGUUACGGUUGUUCAAAAAGUGUUGAGGUUGCAUAAUUGUUGUUAUGACCGAUUCACCUCGACACCAGCCCUCCUGACCAGGCUGUAAAUGUAAUUAAUCAGCUAUCAACACUGACGACUUAAAAGUGAGUUUAUAAUUUAUGUUAUAUUAAAAUCUGACGUUUGAUAAUGUGGAUAACUGGUAAAGAAAUAAUGUAACGCCCUCACAAACACAACACAUCGAAAAAAAAAAAUGUGUUCUUUUUGUUUAGAAUUUUUCAUCU